rnacentral:tRNA from 1 species
GCAUCCUUAGCUCAAAGGAAGAGCAGCAGCCUUCUAAGUUGACGGUUAUAGGUUCGAAUCCUAUAGGAUGUA